UGGGGAAUAUUGGACAAUGGGGGGAACCCUGAUCCAGCCAUGCCGCGUGUGUGAAGAAGGCCUUAUGGUUGUAAAGCACUUUAAGCGAGGAGGAGGGUACUGGUAUUAAUACUACCAGGUACUGGACGUUACUCGCAGAAUAAGCACCGGCUAACUCUGUGCCAGCAGCCGCGGUAAUACAGAGGGUGCGAGCGUUAAUCGGAUUUACUGGGCGUAAAGCGUGCGUAGGCGGCUAAUUGAGUCGGAUGUGAAAUCCCCGAGCUUAACUUGGGAAUUGCAUUUGAUACUGGUUAGAUAGAGUGUGGGAGAGGAUGGUAGGAUUCCAGGUGUAGCGGUGAAAUGCGUAGAGAUCAGGAGGAAUACCGAUGGCGAAGGCAGCCAUCUGGCAUAACACUGACGCUGAGGUACGAAAGCAUGGGGAGCAAACAGG
rnacentral:rRNA from 1 species